UGGGGAAUAUUGCACAAUGGGCGCAAGCCUGAUGCAGCCAUGCCGCGUGUGUGAAGAAGGCCUUCGGGUUGUAAAGCACUUUCAGCGGGGAGGAAGGCGUUAAGGUUAAUAACCUUGGCGAUUGACGUUACCCGCAGAAGAAGCACCGGCUAACUCCGUGCCAGCAGCCGCGGUAAUACGGAGGGUGCAAGCGUUAAUCGGAAUUACUGGGCGUAAAGCGCACGCAGGCGGUCUGUCAAGUCGGAUGUGAAAUCCCCGGGCUCAACCUGGGAACUGCAUCUGAUACUGGCAAGCUUGAGGCUCGUAGAGGGGGGUAGAAUUCCAGGUGUAGCGGUGAAAUGUGUAGAGAUCUGGAGGAAUACCGGUGGCGAAGGCGGCCCCCUGGACGAAGACUGACGCUCAGGUGCGAAAGCGUGGGGAGCAAACAGG
rnacentral:rRNA from 1 species